UACGUAGGGUGCAAGCGUUGUCCGGAAUUAUUGGGCGUAAAGAGCUCGUAGGCGGUUUGUCGCGUCUGCUGUGAAAACCCGAGGCUCAACCUCGGGCCUGCAGUGGGUACGGGCAGACUAGGGUGCGGUAGGGGAGAUUGGAAUUCCUGGUGUAGCGGUGGAAUGCGCAGAUAUCAGGAGGAACACCAAUGGCGAAGGCGGGUCUCUGGGCCGUUACUGACGCUGAGGAGCGAAAGCGUGGGGAGCGAACAGG
rnacentral:rRNA from 1 species